rnacentral:tRNA from 1 species
GGAAAGAUAGCAUAAUUUAAUGUGCUUCCCUUACACGGAAGAGAUAGCGAAGAGCUUCUUUUCA